rnacentral:miRNA from 1 species
UGAGAAGUAACUGUUAAAACUAUGU